AGUGAACGCUGGCGGUAGGCCUAACACAUGCAAGUCGAACGGCAGCACAGUAAGAGCUUGCUCUUACGGGUGGCGAGUGGCGGACGGGUGAGGAAUACAUCGGCAUCUACUUUUUCGUGGGGGAUAACGUAGGGAAACUUACGCUAAUACCGCAUACGACCUACGGGUGAAAGCAGGGGAUCUUCGGACCUUGCGCGAUUGAAUGAGCCGAUGUCGGAUUAGCUAGUUGGCGGGGUUAAGGUCCACCAAGGCGACGAUCCGUAGCUGGUCUGAGAGAGUGAUCAGCCACACUAGAACUGAGACACGGUCCAGACUCCUACGGGAGGCAGCAGUGGGGAAUAUUGGACAAUGGGCGCAAGCCUGAUCCAGCCAUACCGCGUGGGUGAAGAAGGCCUUCGGGUUGUAAAGCCCUUUUGUUGGGAAAGAAAAGCAGCAGGUUAAUACCCCGCUGUUCUGACGGUACCCAAAGAAUAAGCACCGGCUAACUUCGUG
rnacentral:rRNA from 1 species